rnacentral:rRNA from 1 species
UACGUAGGGGGCAAGCGUUAUCCGGAUUUACUGGGUGUAAAGGGAGCGUAGACGGUUAUGCAAGUCAGAAGUGAAAGCCCAAAGCUCAACUUCGGGACUGCUUUUGAAACUGUGUAACUAGAGUGCAGGAGGGGUAAGCGGAAUUCCUAGUGUAGCGGUGAAAUGCGUAGAUAUUAGGAGGAACGCCGGCGGCGAAGGCGGCUUACUGGACUGUAACUGACGUUGAGGCUCGAAAGCGUGGGGAGCAAACAGG